GGGCCCGCACAAGCGGUGGAGCAUGUGGCUUAAUUCGAGGCAACGCGAAGAACCUUACCUGGUCUUGACAUGCCCGUCAUAGUUUUCCGAAAGGAAUUCGUCAGUUCGGCUGGACGGUGCACAGGUGCUGCAUGGCUGUCGUCAGCUCGUGUCGUGAGAUGUUCGGUUAAGUCCGGCAACGAGCGCAACCCUCGUUUCCAGUUGCCAGCGGGUAAUGCCGGGGACUCUGGAAAGACAAACCUCUUGUUGAGGUGGGAAGGUGGGGACGACGUCAAGUCAGUAUGGCCCUUACGACCAGGGCUGCACACGUGCUACAAUGCCCGGUACAAUGGGAUGCAAUAUCGCGAGAUUGAGCCAAUCCAUAAAGCCGGGCCCAGUUCGGAUUGGAGUCUGCAACUCGACUCCAUGAAGUUGGAAUCGCUAG
rnacentral:rRNA from 1 species